UACGUAGGUGGUAAGCGUUGUCCGGAUUUAUUGGGCGUAAAGGGAGCGCAGGCGGUGACUUAAGUCUGAUGUGAAAGCCCACGGCUCAACCGUGGAAGGUCAUUGGAAACUGGGUCACUUGAAUAUAGAAGAGGAAAGUGGAAUUCCAUGUGUAGCGGUGAAAUGCGUAGAUAUAUGGAGGAACACCAGUGGCGAAGGCGACUUUCUGGUCUAUUAUUGACGCUGAGGCUCGAAAGCAUGGGUAGCAAACAGGAUUAGAUACCCU
rnacentral:rRNA from 1 species